ensembl:lncRNA
AGCGCGCGCCCCGGACGGGAAAGCCGGGUCUGCGGCCUCGCCCCAGCGUCCCCGCCGCCCUCCUGCAGACCCCGCAUCCUCCCGGGCAGCCGAGCCUCAGUGUCCCGAUCCGGGAAGUGGGCACGCAACGCUGGCCAGAGCCGCGGCCCCUCCGGACCCCAGUCACCUUCCCCGCCCCGGCCGGACACAACGGGACUGCUCUGCUGGAAGAUCCCACCCAGGGGCCCUCGGACAGGGCCGUGCAGUCUCCAUCGUGCCAAACGCACAGCCAUCGUUGUCUUUUUCUGCACCUUGCAGCGAUGAAAACGGCUAUGGUGAAAGACUUCCCUUCUGAGCCAGCGCUUUGUCUCGAGCACUCGUGAGUCCUCGCGCGUGGCCCACUUCAGCCCUGGGCACUCGCUCCGGAGAUGUGGAUGGAAAUCGCAUCUCCUCAGGUGCAGCCACUUCCCCAAGGCCAGGCGAGGGCUGGGCUGAAAGGCAGGCGUUGCCCCAGGGCUUUCUGUCUUUACUCACCUUUUUGUAGCUUUGCACCUAGCCCUGGUGCUCCUGCCUGGGCCGAUGUAACCAGGGUCCUCCUCUCCUGUCCCUGAAGCAGACUUCCCUCAAGUCCCGUCCCGUCCCCUGCUCCUGGCCCCAUAACCGGAAAAUCGAGACAGAAUGGUUUGGAAGCACGAAGGAUCCUGACGGCAGAUAAAGGACUCAGAGAAAACUGGCUGCCGACUUCUCGAGUGUGAGGUGAGACUCUCUUCGUGGAUUGGCCGGGGACCACGCACCCACCAGAAAGCCCCGAGUCUGGGGUCUCCUGGACGUCUGCAGACUUGCUCCACACGCAGCCGUGUUAGUUUCUUUCUGAAUCACUGGUGGACCCUUCGGAGCUCUGCACGUGGAUGUGUCUUUCCUGAGAACAGGACUUUAUCUUGCAUAACCACAGCAGGUUGCCAAACUCCUGAAUUCACGGCGAUAAGAUGCUGGUAUCUCGUCCAUCCGUGUUCCAGUUGUCAGCUGAUCGGAUAAAAUGUUGUGUAGUGUUUCUUCCCCUCCAUUUCAAGACCCAGUCCGGGGGUAGGACCAGGCCUGGCUUUCAGUUCUUUCAGACCGGUGGGUUUCAUGAACUUCUGUGAACUGGAGUGGAAUGGAUAUAAACAUCCUCAGGUGUUUUCCUGCUGGCAGUGGCCCCUAGAAUUCCUGGGGCACCUUCGUUCCCACAUUUCCUGGCUCUGCAAUAGGCCAGCACCCACCCCACACCGCUUUCUGAAGCAAGUUCAUGACCUUGCCACCCCUCCGUACACCCCAGUACUGAGGAUGGACCCACGGUGCUCUACCACUGAGCUGCAGCCUCAGCCCUUUCUUGUUUUUUUUACUUUGAGACAGGGUUUCCUUUUGCAAAGUUGCCCAGGCUGGCUUUGAACUUGGGAUCCUCCUGCCUCAGCCUCCCAAGUAGCUAGGAUUACAAGCACGCACCACCACACCUGCCUGAACUUCCCACUCCUCUUGUGGCUGUAGGAGCCAAAGUGGCCUCAGGAUGGUGAUUGUGGCCAAGCCCUGCCAUCCCCCAGGCACUCUUGAGGGUCCCCGGCCCAUGAGUCCCUCACAGGGUGGCAGCCCCUGCUAGCUGAUAGCCAAGCAGUGUACAAAUCACCCUGAGAGCCCAGCCUCCAGGGGCAGGCACCUCACCAGAGGGAACCAUGCAGGCUGGACUUGGACCUCGGGACAAGACACAGGAUUCUGUGAUAGCAAAGAAUCCAGCUAUCCGCCGUGAGCCGGAAGGCUCAUUCUGCUGAAAGUGGAGGAUCUGAGAGGCCCUCAUUUUUAAUUAGUGAUGAACUGAUUGACAUCUAUCUCCGCUGUUGACGCAUAAUUUGUUCUGGAAGGCGCACAGUUGUGUGAUGCGGAGCCCUGUUGGCCCCAGAAGGUUGCUUCCACCUGCUUUGGGUCGGUCACCUGCCUUCCCCAGGACAUGAGCCAUGGUUGAGAGGAAGUGGAGCCGCAGGUGCACUGGCAGCCUUUCUGGCACCACAGGGAAUCUGCUGAGAGGCCUCACGGUGGAGCUUCCAGGGAAAUCAGGCAUCUGGAGUCCUCCCACGACAUCCAGCCUGCUCCUCACCUUCCAAGAGUCAGUAACGUCCCUGGGAUGCGGGCUUCCGCCGUUCCUGUUGUGAGUCGCAGUUGUUAAAGCAGCACAGCUGGCUCAGCUGCUCCCCGAGAUGCACGUGCCCUGCACCCUGGAAGAGGAAAGAUUGCGGUCACGCAUGCAGCCUGGGGCCCUUGUGCCCAGAAUGCUCAGGCACACGGCGUCACUGACGGGGAGGGCCCAGCGAGGCUGGGGACCAUCACGUGACCUCCCCGGGUCGCUCUGCCAACCCCACUGUGCUGACCCAGGCCUCUGACCGGAGGGCAGGCAAUCCUCGCACCCGGCACUGGGGCUGCACUGGGCACCCAGCUCCUCCCGAGGACGAACGUCCAGGCCGGCAGGAGAAGGCCAGGCCCACCGAGCCCCUGCCGCAGAGGUGGCAGUGAGCGCCAGGGUGGCCACACCCUCCGGCGGUGUCGCGGUCACUCCGCAGCGCCCAGCCCCCAUCCUCGGGCCUCUGCCCGCCCGCCGAGGGGUGAACAGGAGCCGGGCCUCGGGUCUGAUGCACCCGCAGGAAGGCAAGCCUCAGCCGGCUCCCGGUGCCACCCUGGAGUCGCCGCGAUUCUCGGCGUCCCUCGGUGCCAGCACUACCGCUGCAGGGACGCUUCCACACCACGGGAAAGUCACAGCACCGACUCAGAGGGCAGCUCGUGGAGUUAAACCACCACGGAGCCGGGCGCAGUGGGGCAUGCCUGUCAUCCUAACACUCUGGGAGGCUGAGGCAGGAGGAUCACAAGCUUGGAUGGCUCAGCAACUUAUCAAGAUCCUGUCUCAAAAAAUAAUAAAACUUUAAAAGGCUGGGAUGUAGCUCAGUGCAGAAGCCUUGCGUGCGACUUCCAGUCCAGCAGAGAGGGGUGUCACCCACCUGACAUAUCCUGCUGUAGCCGUGGGAAACUGUGGGAGCCUGUGCUGCAUGUGGGAGUUCCCGUGACUCCCAGGACCACUGUCACUGUGGUCCUGUUCUGGUUUCUACCUAGCUGUCCCCCAGAGCCCCUGCGCAUAGGCCAGGCCCUGUGUGAAGUGCCAUGGACUGUUCUCAUCUGUGGAGCCACCCUGCCUUGGAGCCAGCCUACCAUGGACUGAGACCUCUACAUCUACACACUGAGCCAAAAUAAAGCUCUCCUCCCCUAAGUUGUGUCACAAUGAUGGGAAAGUGACUUGGACAGCGCCCAUGGCCACGAGAUGAUGUGACCUGUCUGCCACUGUCACUGCCUUCCUUCCUAAGGUAGAGUCGUAAGAAGAAGGCGCUGCUCAAGUUCCUGUGGAUAGAAAGGUCACCAAGGCCAAGCUCCCUGCCUCGCGAGCUGCCCCAGGUCACAGAAUGUCCCAGGUCAGCGAGUGUCCUGUGGGCAGCUCCCUGGCUCCCUGCAUCCAGGGCUGGCCCCCCUCAGGCACAGGACUGGUGACCUGCAGUGCACGGCCCUGCCUGCUGUCCCCCAACGUGCUGGCUUGGUUUCACAGGAUGGCCUCGCGACAUGCAUGUCACACUGGGAGCUGCAACAUCAUGGCAAUGAUCUGACCGCGGGCCCAGGACUCAGGCUGCCUGCAUUCAGGGGCAGCUUUGUGUUUCCAGCUCAUCAGCCCUGCAUUCAUCACUUCACUAACUUCUCUCCAUGCUUUGCCUCCUGCCUGGAACAGUGCUCGGUAAACAUUGGCUACAUGGACUCCUGGUUCUGUCUCCAGUCCUCAGUGCUCCUGUAUCAGCCACAGUACUGGUUCCGCUGGCCUGUUCUCAGUUGCCCAUACUCGGUGAGGUAGAAUGUAGGAAGCCUUAAUUAUGAAUUCGGAGACAAGCCCUGCCACCCUUGGAGGAGGACAUGGAAGGCAGCUAUGCUCACCACUAUACCACCAACGCGAGGAGGACAUGGGAUACGCAAUCUAUUUGCUUUACAUAAGGUGGAGAAGGAAAGAUGCCCACUUAACAUUUUUCUCCAAGGGCUGUGGUUCCCGUGUUGUCCCUUCCUUGGCUGUUCGGAGUUGAAUGCCUCCUCUCCACCACCUUUGCCCCGGGCCGCCAUUGUUCCUCUAAGCUUCUCUCCUUGCUUUGGUUUUAUGUAGAUUUUGUAUUGUAGUUGAUCUUUCAUGGGCAGAGAGCAAUGAAUUAAAGUCUCAUAUUUCUGAUGUGUUUCUGUUCGUUCUCCUAAUAGCUCCCAUGGUUGCUGCUUUAUGAAUUUUGAUGCUGUGUUAUUUGG